rnacentral:rRNA from 1 species
CCUACGGGAGGCAGCAGUGAGGAAUAUUGGUCAAUGGGCGGAAGCCUGAACCAGCCAAGUAGCGUGCAGGAUGACUGCCCUACGGGUUGUAAACUGCUUUUAUACGGGAAUAACGCGCCUUACGUGUAGGGCUUUGCAUGUACCGUAUGAAUAAGGACCGGCUAAUUCCGUGCCAGCAGCCGCGGUAAUACGGAAGGUCCGGGCGUUAUCCGGAUUUAUUGGGUUUAAAGGGAGCGUAGGCCGAUUGUCAAGCGUGCUGUGAAAUGUUCGGGCUCAACCGGAGCCUUGCAGUUCAAACUGGCAGGCUUGAGUCCAGGAGAGGCGGGCGGAAUUCGUGGUGUAGCGGUGAAAUGCUUAGAUAUGACGAAGAACCCCGAUUGCGAAGGCAGCUUGCUGGACCGUAACUGACGCUGAUGCUCGAAAGCGCGGGUAUCGAACAGGAUUAGAUACCCCUGUAGUC